GCUUACGGCCAUAUCAGCCUGGGUACGCCUGAUCUCGUCUGAUCUCAGAAGCUAAGCAGGGUCGUGCCGGGUUAGUACUUGGAUGGGAGACCGCCUGGGAAUACCAGGUGCUGUAAGCA
rnacentral:rRNA from 1 species